rnacentral:rRNA from 1 species
UACGGAGGGUGCAAGCGUUAUCCGGAUUUAUUGGGUUUAAAGGGUCCGCAGGCGGACUAGUAAGUCAGGGGUGAAAUCCGGCAGCUCAACUGUCGAACUGCCUUUGAAACUGCUGGUCUUGAGUGAGAAUGAAGCAGCUGGAAUGUGUGGUGUAGCGGUGAAAUGCAUAGAUAUCACACAGAACACCGAUUGCGAAGGCAGCACACUAAGUCAUUAUUGACGCUGAGGCACGAAAGUGUGGGGAUCAAA